CCUACGGGAGGCAGCAGUGAGGAAUAUUGGUCAAUGGCCGGAAGGCUGAACCAGCCAAGCCGCGUGAAGGACGAAGGUGCCAAGCAUUGUAAACUUCUUUUGUCAAGGGACAAAAUCAGGCUCGAGAGCCUGACCGAGGGUACUUUAAGAAAAAGCAUCGGCUAACUCCGUGCCAGCAGCCGCGGUAAUACGGAGGAUGCGAGCGUUAUCCGGAUUUAUUGGGUUUAAAGGGUGAGUAGGCGGAGCGUUAAGUCAGUGGUAAAAUUGAGGGGCUCAACCCCUUCCCGCCAUUGAAACUGGCGGUCUUGAGUGGAAGAGAAGUAUGCGGAAUGCGUGGUGUAGCGGUGAAAUGCAUAGAUAUCACGCAGAACCCCGAUUGCGAAGGCAGCAUGCCGGCUUCCGACUGACGCUGAAGCACGAAAGCGUGGGGAUCGAACAGGAUUAGAUACCCGAGUAGUC
rnacentral:rRNA from 1 species